GACGAACGCUGGCGGCGUGCUUAACACAUGCAAGUCGAACGGAAAGGCCCUGCUUUUGUGGGGUGCUCGAGUGGCGAACGGGUGUGUAACACGUGAGUAACCUGCCCUUGACUUUGGGAUAACUUCAGGAAACUGGGGCUCAUACCGGAUAGGAGCUCCUGCUGCAUGGUGGGGGUUGGAAAGUUUCGGCGGUUGGGGCUGGACUCGCGGCUUAUCAGCUUGUUGGUGGGGUAGUGGCUUACCAAGGCUUUGACGGGUAGCCGGCCUGAGAGGGUGACCGGCCACAUGGGGACUGAGAUACGGCCCAGACUCCUACGGGAGGCAGCAGGGGGGAAUAUUGCACAAUGGGCGGAAGCCUGAGGCAGCAACGCCGCGUGCGGGAUGACGGCCUUCGGGGGGUAAACCGCUGUCGCCUGUGACGAAGCGUGAGUGACGGUAAUGGGUAAAGAAGCACCGGCUAACUACGUG
rnacentral:rRNA from 1 species